GGGGGAUUAGCUCAGCUGGGAGAGCGCCGCCCUUGCAAGGCGGAGGUCGCCGGUUCGAUUCCGGUAUCCUCCA
rnacentral:tRNA from 1 species